AUUGAACGCUGGCGGCAUGCCUUACACAUGCAAGUCGAACGGCAGCACGGGUGCUUGCACCUGGUGGCGAGUGGCGAACGGGUGAGUAAUAUAUCGGAACGUACCUUAUUGUGGGGGAUAACGCAGCGAAAGCUGUGCUAAUACCGCAUAAUCCCUAAGGGGGAAAGCGGGGGACCGUAAGGCCUCGCGCAAUUAGAGCGGCCGAUACCUGAUUAGCUAGUUGGUGAGGUAAAGGCUCACCAAGGCAACGAUCAGUAGCUGGUCUGAGAGGACGAUCAGCCACACUGGGACUGAGACACGGCCCAGACUCCUACGGGAGGCAGCAGUGGGGAAUUUUGGACAAUGGGGGCAACCCUGAUCCAGCAAUGCCGCGUGAGUGAAGAAGGCCUUCGGGUUGUAAAGCUCUUUUGUCAGGGAAGAAACAGCAGCUCUAACACAGUAUGCGAAUGACGGUACCUGAAGAAUAAGCACCGGCUAACUCUGUGCCAGCCGCCGCGGUAA
rnacentral:rRNA from 1 species